CAAAAAUGAAAAACCUCUAAACUAUCAAAGAUAUUUGAACAGAAGUUGUGAAAUUUCCAUUCUAAGAUAAUAAAGGAAGAGCCAACAUGGAGAUUGCUGAUUUAAAUCAGACCUCAAAUAAUUGGACAGAUGAUUAUUUCCCUGGAUACUACAGUAUUCACAAGAAGUUCUAAAGUCUAAAACGAAUUUCCAAAGCAGAGAAUACAGGU